GUCCACCUCAAAGAGUCACAUGACCAGAAAGCAUCAGAGUCAGUCAGAAUGAUAGAAACUACAACACUCCACCGGCUGGAGGAAAUGUGUCUAGUCCACUUUGAAGAGUCACAUGACCGAUCCACUCACUUCUGCAUGCGGCCAGGAUGAGAAUAACUACAGCAUUUCUUAUCUACAGUAUGUUGAGACAUCAGGACCAAGGAAACCAUGACA